UCCCCGUUUCACAGGGCAGUCCGUCCAGAGUGCUUCCAAUUAAGGAGUGGCAACAGGACGUAAGGGUUGCGCUCGUUGCGGGACUUAACCCAACAUCUCACGACACGAGCUGACGACAGCCAUGCAGCACCUGUGUAAAUUGUGUAUUGCUACACUCGCCAGCUUUCACCGACUUAGAGAUACAUGUCAAACCCUGGUAAGGUUCUUCGCGUUGCAUCGAAUUAAGCCACAUACUCCACCGCUUGUGCGGGCCCCCGUCAAUUUCUUUGAGUUUUAAUCUUGCGACCGUACUUCCCAGGCGGUACGUUUAACGCGUUAGCUCCGGCACAGGCGGGGUCGAAUCCGCCUACACCAAACGUACACCGUUUACUGCCAGGACUA
rnacentral:misc_RNA from 1 species